GACGAACGCUGGCGGCGUGCUUAACACAUGCAAGUCGAACGGAAAGGCCCUGCUUUUGUGGGGUGCUCGAGUGGCGAACGGGUGAGUAACACGUGAGUAACCUGCCCUUGACUUUGGGAUAACUUCAGGAAACUGGGGCUAAUACCGGAUAGGAGCUCCUGCUGCAUGGUGGGGGUUGGAAAGUUUCGGCGGUUGGGGAUGGACUCGCGGCUUAUCAGCUUGUUGGUGGGGUAGUGGCUUACCAAGGCUUUGACGGGUAGCCGGCCUGAGAGGGUGACCGGCCACAUUGGGACUGAGAUACGGCCCAGACUCCUACGGGAGGCAGCAGUGGGGAAUAUUGCACAAUGGGCGGAAGCCUGAUGCAGCAACGCCGCGUGCGGGAUGACGGCCUUCGGGUUGUAAGCCGCUUUCGCCUGUGACGAAGCGUGAGUGACGGUAAUGUGUAAAGAAGCACCGGCUAACUACGUG
rnacentral:rRNA from 1 species